UACGUAGGCAGCGAGCGUUGUUCGGAAUUACUGGGCGUAAAGAGUGUGUAGGCGGUGCUCUAAGUUCGGUGUGAAAUCUCCUGGCUCAACUGGGAGGGUGCGCCGGAAACUGGAGUGCUUGAGCGUGGGAGAGGAAAGCGGAAUUCCUGGUGUAGCGGUGAAAUGCGUAGAUAUCGGGAGGAACACCUGUGGUGUAGACGGCUAUCUGGACGGCCACUGACGCUGAGACACGAAAGCGUGGGUAGCAAACAGG
rnacentral:rRNA from 1 species